GACGAACGCUGGCGGCGUGCCUAAUACAUGCAAGUAGAACGCUGAAGAGAGGAGCUUGCUCUUCUUGGAUGAGUUGCGAACGGGUGAGUAACGCGUAGGUAACCUGCCUUGUAGCGGGGGAUAACUAUUGGAAACGAUAGCUAAUACCGCAUAACAAUGGAUGACACAUGUCAUUUAUUUGAAAGGGGCAAUUGCUCCACUACAAGAUGGACCUGCGUUGUAUUAGCUAGUAGGUGAGGUAAUGGCUCACCUAGGCGACGAUACAUAGCCGACCUGAGAGGGUGAUCGGCCACACUGGGACUGGGACACGGCCCAGACUCCUACGGGAGGCAGCAGUAGGGAAUCUUCGGCAAUAGGGGCAACCCUGACCGAGCAACGCCGCGUGAGUGAAGAAGGUUUUCGGAUCGUAAAGCUCUGUUGUAAGUCAAGAACGGGUGUGAGAGUGGAAAGUUCACACUGUGACGGUAGCUUACCAGAAAGGGACGGCUAACUACGUG
rnacentral:rRNA from 1 species